AUGUACCACUCGUACACUCCGGUUCCUCCGCGCCGUCCACACCACCUGACGACUGCUCGCUACGUUUUGUUAGCC
rnacentral:sRNA from 5 species